GAUGAACGCUAGCUACAGGCUUAACACAUGCAAGUCGAGGGGCAGCAUGAACUUAGCUUGCUAAGUUUGAUGGCGACCGGCGCACGGGUGAGUAACACGUAUCCAACCUGCCGAUGACUCGGGGAUAGCCUUUCGAAAGAAAGAUUAAUACCCGAUGGCAUAGUUCUUCCGCAUGGUAGAACUAUUAAAGAAUUUCGGUCAUCGAUGGGGAUGCGUUCCAUUAGGUUGUUGGCGGGGUAACGGCCCACCAAGCCUUCGAUGGAUAGGGGUUCUGAGAGGAAGGUCCCCCACAUUGGAACUGAGACACGGUCCAAACUCCUACGGGAGGCAGCAGUGAGGAAUAUUGGUCAAUGGACGAGAGUCUGAACCAGCCAAGUAGCGUGAAGGAUGACUGCCCUAUGGGUUGUAAACUUCUUUUAUACGGGAAUAAAGUGAGGCACGUGUGCCUUUUUGUAUGUACCGUAUGAAUAAGGAUCGGCUAACUCCGUGCCAGCAGCCGCGGUAAUACGGAGGAUCCGAGCGUUAUCCGGAUUUAUUGGGUUUAAAGGGAGCGUAGGCGGACGCUUAAGUCAGUUGUGAAAGUUUGCGGCUCAACCGUAAAAUUGCAGUUGAUACUGGGUGUCUUGAGUACAGUAGAGGCAGGCGGAAUUCGUGGUGUAGCGGUGAAAUGCUUAGAUAUCACGAAGAACUCCGAUUGCGAAGGCAGCCUGCUGGACUGUAACUGACGCUGAUGCUCGAAAGUGUGGGUAUCAAACAGGAUUAGAUACCCUGGUAGUCCACACAGUAAACGAUGAAUACUCGCUGUUUGCGAUAUACAGUAAGCGGCCAAGCGAAAGCGUUAAGUAUUCCACCUGGGGAGUACGCCGGCAACGGUGAAACUCAAAGGAAUUGACGGGGGCCCGCACAAGCGGAGGAACAUGUGGUUUAAUUCGAUGAUACGCGAGGAACCUUACCCGGGCUUGAAUUGCAACUGAAUGAUGUGGAGACAUGUCAGCCGCAAGGCAGUUGUGAAGGUGCUGCAUGGUUGUCGUCAGCUCGUGCCGUGAGGUGUCGGCUUAAGUGCCAUAACGAGCGCAACCCUUAUCGAUAGUUACCAUCAGGUUAUGCUGGGGACUCUGUCGAGACUGCCGUCGUAAGAUGUGAGGAAGGUGGGGAUGACGUCAAAUCAGCACGGCCCUUACGUCCGGGGCUACACACGUGUUACAAUGGGGGGUACAGAAGGCAGCUACACGGCGACGUGAUGCUAAUCCCGAAAGCCUCUCUCAGUUCGGAUUGGAGUCUGCAAACCCGACUCCUUGAAAGCUGGAUUCGCUAGUAAUCGCGCUUCGGCCUCGGCGCGGUGAAUUACGUUUCCCGGGCCCA
rnacentral:rRNA from 1 species